AACCUUAACGAUGGAUGUCUUGGUUCCUACAGCGAUGAAGGCCGUAGCAAAAUACGAUAGGCAAUGAAGCUUGCUUACUUUUGUAUCUCUGCAAAUCAUCAUCAGAAUGCUGAAUGUAAACUACACUCUCAAGAGAAGAGGCU
rnacentral:rRNA from 1 species